rnacentral:rRNA from 1 species
UGAAUGGCUUCGGCCGUAAACCCCUGUCAUUUGCGAUCAAACCUCAAUAUUUAAAAGAUGUUGGGCUGAUAGUAGCGAAAGAGGAAGGGACGGCUAACUCUGUGCCAGCAGCCGCGGUAAUACAGAGGUCCCGAGCGUUGUUCGGAUUCACUGGGCGUAAAGGGUGCGUAGGUGGUGAGGUGUGUCGGAUGUGAAAUCUCGGAGCUCAACUCCGAAAUGGCAUUGGAAACUACCUUGCUGGAGGGUUGGAGGGGGGACUGGAAUGCUUGGUGUAGCAGUGAAAUGCGUAGAUAUCAAGCGGAACACCAGUGGCGAAGGCGAGUCCCUGGACAAUUCCUGACACUGAGGCACGAAAGCUAGGGGAGCAAACAGGAUUAGAUACCCUGGUAGUCCUAGCCGUAAACGGUGCGCGUUUGCUGUAAAAGGAAUCGACCCCUUUUGUGGCGUAGCCAACGCGAUAAACGCGCCGCCUGGGAAGUACGGUCGCAAGAUUA